rnacentral:lncRNA from 1 species
CGUUUUUCAUCCCUGGCCUGUUUCAGAUGCUGUGCGCGUACGGGAUUUUCUUUCUGGGCCAAGAUUUGCCAGAUGGAAACUACGCCCAGCUCCACAAAUCUGGAGACAAGCACAAAGACAAAUUCAGCAAGGUUCUCUAUCAUGCUGUCACAAACUACAGAGGUUGGAUCUUGGCUUUGACUUACGGGUAUUGCUUCGGAGUUGAACUUGCGAUAGACAACAUAAUCGCGCAGUACUUUUACGAUAGAUUCAACGUGAGCCUUCACACAGCUGGAAUCAUUGCAGCCAGUUUCGGUUUGGCGAAUUUCUUCUCGAGACCUGGAGGAGGUAUGCUGUCAGAUAUUGUUGCAAGGAGGUACGGAAUGAGAGGUAGGCUGUGGGCACUUUGGUCAGUGCAGACUUUGGGAGGAAUAUUCUGUAUUAUUUUGGGGAAAGUCGGAACAUUGGGUGUAUCAGUCGCUGUGAUGCUCAUAUUUUCAGUUUUCGUUCAAGCUGCUUGUGGACUUACUUUCGGGGUUGUUCCUUUCGUUUCUAGAAGGUAUCCAUCUAUCUAUCUACCUAUUCGGUUCACUAAAAUUUUAUCGGAUAAUAAUAUAGACUUAUUUGAUAUGUUGUUGUUAUUACCAGGUCAUUGGGAAUUAUAUCGGGGAUGACAGGAGCUGGUGGAAACGUGGGAGCAGUUAUUACACAAGUAAUAUUCUUCCGAGGAUCGAGAUACACUACAGAAAAAGGUAUAAUGCUAAUGGGGGUGAUGAUUAUAGCAUGCACAUCCGUAAUUACGUUGAUACACUUCCCGCAAUGGGGUGGAAUGUUCACCAAACCAUCAAAGGGCAUAACAGAGGAAGAUUAUUACCUUUCUGAAUGGACCGAAGCCGAGAAGGAAAAAGGUUUCCAUAAGGCUAGCUUAAAAUUCUCGGAAAACAGCAGACACGAAGGCGGAAGAAGAGUUGGAAUAACAGAGUCUCCGGAUACACACAAAUGAGUAUUUCGUCGGCCUACUUUUCUUUUAAGAAUUUCUGCAAAGUGUUGAUUGCAUGAAGAGAUUACUGCUCAGUUGAAUAUUCUUUUGAUUUGGUUUGGUGUGAAGAAGAACGUACUGUGACAAAUAUCGGUAUUUUCUUUCUGUUUUGUUUUAUUUUAUUUGUAUUGGUUCAAGUUCCCUGCUGUAAAAGGUUUUCAUUUUAAUGUGUAUGUAUCUCUUUUAUUUGUAUAACAUUGUAUUGUUACUCUCUAUCUGUUUAUGAUGUACAAAACUCAACAAUGACAAAUCUUCGUUUAGCAAUCCGUAACUAUUUCGAAAAUUGAGAUAUUAUUCCAGCAGUGUUUAUGAAUUCUAGAUUCCCCUACAUACCCUCACAAAGCAAAACGCAAUCAGUACUACUACACAUUUGAAAUAAUUUAAACCAGCUUAACUCUAACGUAAGUUUUCGAGUUUUACACGAUAAAUUCCAGCAGUAUAAGUGAAUUCUAGCAUAUUAAGGAAAACAAAAAACACAAUGUUGUGAAAUCAGACAAGGGACAACAGUAUGAAGAACCAGCAUAUUACGAUAGGCAAUCAUUUGAUUCGAAAACCAAAUUCACACAUUUCAACAUGUUUGUAGGAUUAUUUCUGCAAAUUAGACAACGGAUAAGCCCUAGGAAGCUGUAAAUCAUGUUCAAAGGGGAUUUAAAACAAAAAAAAACGAACUCUCGAAUGGCAAUUCAAAUUCACAAGAGAUUGCAUCUUUCAGCUUAAGAAAAACUCACCGGCGACGUCUGUCCGACGAGUUCAUCCACCGGGUUUUGCUGAUUGAAUACGACGUCGUGUCAUCGGUUAAGCCCCAAUUACGCAAUUCGACAAUUUUUGUGAUUAGGGUUCCAAUUUUACGAAUCGGAGGGAUUUAGCUCCCACCAACACUGAACCAGAAUCUUAGCCCCAUCGAAUCGGGUCUUUAGUUGGGCCCAAAUGGUAAUUAUAUGACAAUUAUGGAUCAAGAACUAAAUUUUAUUUUCACCCAAGGCAAGGCCCAAGGGUUAGUAUAAAGUUGACAAAUGAUUAAAUAGUGAGUUUUAUUUAUGGUCUUA